rnacentral:rRNA from 1 species
UGAGGAAUAUUUGUCAAUGGACGCAAGUCUGAACCAGCCAAGUAGCGUGCAGGAUGACGGCCCUAUGGGUUGUAAACUGCUUUUAUAUGGGGAUAAAGUGGGGAACGUGUUCCCUUUUGCAGGUACCAUAUGAAUAAGGACCGGCUAAUUCCGUGCCAGCAGCCGCGGUAAUACGGAAGGUCCGGGCGUUAUCCGGAUUUAUUGGGUUUAAAGGGAGCGUAGGCUGUCUAUUAAGCGUGUUGUGAAAUAUACCGGCUCAACCGGUGGCUUGCAGCGCGAACUGGUCGACUUGAGUAUGCAGGAAGUAGGCGGAAUUCAUGGUGUAGCGGUGAAAUGCUUAGAUAUCAUGACGAACUCCGAUUGCGCAGGCAGCUUACUGUAGCAUAACUGACGCUGAUGCUCGAAAGUGCGGGUAUCAAACAGG